rnacentral:rRNA from 1 species
GUAGGGGAGACCUGGAAUUCCUGGUGUAGCGGUGAAAUGCGCAGAUAUCAGGAGGAAACACCGAUGGCGAAGGCAGGUCUCUGGGCUGUUACUGACGCUGAGGAGCGAAAGCAUGGGRGAGCGAACAGGAUUAGAUACCCUGGUAGUCCAUGCCGUAAACGUUGGGCACUAGGUGUGGGGGACAUUCCACGUCCUCCGCGCCGUAGGCUAACGCAUUAAGUGCCCCGCCUGGGGAGUACGGCCGCAAGGCUAAAACUCAAAGGAAUUGACGGGGGCCCGCACAAGCGGCGGAGCAUGCGGAUUAAUUCGAUGCAACGCGAAGAACCUUACCAAGGCUUGACAUCCACCGGACCGCCCCAGAGAUGGGGUUUCCCUUCGGGGCUGGUGGACAGGUGGUGCAUGGUUGUCGUCAGCUCGUGUCGUGAGAUGUUGGGUUAAGUCCCGCAACGAGCGCAACCCUCGUUCUAUGUUGCCAGCACGUGAUGGUGGGGACUCAUAGGAGACUGCCGGGGUCAACUCGGAGGAAGGUGGGGAUGACGUCAAAUCAUCAUGCCCCUUAUGUCUUGGGCUUCACGCAUGCUACAAUGGCCGGUACAAAGGGUUGCGAUACUGUGAGGUGGAGCUAAUCCCAAAAAGCCGGUCUCAGUUCGGAUUGAGGUCUGCAACUCGACCUCAUGAAGUCGGAGUCGCUAGUAAUCGCAGAUCAGCAACGCUGCGGUGAAUACGUUCCCGGGCCUUGUACACACCGCCCGUCAAGUCACGAAAGUUGGUAACACCCGAAGCCGGUGGCCUAACCCCUUGUGGGAGGAGCG